rnacentral:rRNA from 1 species
UAAGGAAUAUUGGUCAAUGGACGCAAGUCUGAACCAGCCAUGCCGCGUGAAGGAUGAAGGUCCUCUGGAUUGUAAACCUCUUUUAUCUGGGACGAAAACGGGAUUUUUAUCUCAAUUGACGGUACCAGAGGAAUAAGCACCGGCUAACUCCGUGCCAGCAGCCGCGGUAAUACGGAGGGUGCGAGCGUUAUCCGGAUUUACUGGGUUUAAAGGGUGCGUAGGUGGGCUUAUAAGUCAGUGGUGAAAUCUCCGAGCUUAACUUGGAAACUGCCGUUGAUACUAUAGGUCUUGAAUUAUCUGGAGNUAAGCGGAAUAUGUCAUGUAGCGGUGAAAUGCUUAGAUAUGACAUAGAACACCAAUUGCGAAGGCAGCUUACUACAUAUAAAUUGACGCUGAGGCACGAAAGCGUGGGGAUCAAACA